CCGAUCCACUUCGACCCGACCCAACCAAAUAAAACAAUUCUCAAAAUGAAAUCGCGACCUACACAAAAAAAUUAACACAAAAACACAAAAAUUGGCAACAUACAUACACCAAAUCCAUCACAAUUUUGACUGUCGACUGCCCCCGACGAGAGUGCCGCCGCCGAGCUUCCACCGCCGCCCAGGCUCCGAUCCUCCUGAUAGCAGAUGUCCACGUUAGGCUCUUUUGCCGUUUUCAGCUGGUAUUUUGGUACACCAGUCACCAAAUGCGGCCACAUACAGUCAUUUCUUGAGAGAUAUUUCUUUGGGAUCAGUUGAAGCUUGUACAAUGUCCCAUUGCACAGAUGAGUUUAAAUUUUCCACCGAAGAACACUCCAGAACAAGAAAAACAAACAAUAGUGGUAUUUGGGUUAAGGGUGAUGACGAUGUUGAUUACUUUAACAUCAUACAAGAGAUCUUAGAACUGGAGUAUGUUGGUUUCCCAAUAAAAAAAAAUUCCUCUUUCAAUGUAAGUGGUUUAAUCUAAGCACAAGAGGCACAAGAGUACAUAAGAAGCAUAACAUCAUUGAAGUGAAGCACAAUAGGUCGUAUCCUGUUUACGAUCCCUUUGUUCUCGUGUAAAAUGCUAAAUAAGUGUAUUAUGCUCCUUAUCCGUUGUGCAGUGAUAAGUCUGAUUGGUGAGCUGUAAUCAAAACAAAGACUAUAGGACGAGUGGAAGUUGAGAAUAUGUUGGAGACGGCGUAUCAAAAUGAAAUGCAGAUUGAUCACCAGUUAGUGGACAUUGAUUUAGUGACUAGUUUGAAUCACCCAAAAAAUAUAUUUGAAGAAGUCAAUAUUGCAGAAGAAGAGGCUAAGUGGGCGGAAGAUGAGAAAACUUUCAAAUAGGGUGAAUGAUUUAGUGGAGAAUCUUCGAGAGA